CACGUAGGGGGCGAGCGUUGUCCGGAAUCAUUGGGCGUAAAGAGCUCGUAGGCGGCUCAGUAAGUCGGGUGUGAAACCCCCAGGCUCAACCUGGGGACGCCACCCGAUACUGCUGUGGCUAGAGUCCAGUAGGGGAGUGUGGAAUUCCCGGUGUAGCGGUGAAAUGCGCAGAGUAUCGGGAGGAACACCAGCGGCGAAGGCGGCACUCUGGGCUGGUACUGACGCUGAGGAGCGAAAGCGUGGGUAGCAAACGAG
rnacentral:rRNA from 1 species